UCCUACGGGAGGCAGCAGUGAGGAAUAUUGGUCAAUGGGCGCGAGCCUGAACCAGCCAAGUAGCGUGAAGGAUGACUGCCCUACGGGUUAUAAACUUCUUUUAUAAAGGAAUAAAGUGAGGCACGUGUGCCUUUUUGUAUGUACUUUAUGAAUAAGGAUCGGCUAACUCCGUGCCAGCAGCCGCGGUAAUACGGAGGAUCCGAGCGUUAUCCGGAUUUAUUGGGUUUGAAGGGAGCGUAGAUGGGUUGUUAAGUCAGUUGUGAAAGUUUGCGGCUCAACCGUAAAAUUGCAAUUGAUACUGGCAG
rnacentral:rRNA from 1 species